GAAAUGCGAUAAGUAGUGUGAAUUGCAGAAUUUAGCGAAUCAUCGAAUCUUUGAACGCAGAUUGCGCCCCUUGGUAUUCCAUGGGGCAUGCCUGUUCGAGCGUCAUUUCAACCCUCAAGCACUGCUUGGUGUUGGGCGUUUGUCCCGCCUACGCGCGUGGACUCGCCUCAAAGUCAUUGGCAGCUGUUCCCCUUCGGCUCGUAAGCGCAGCACAGUCGGCGCCCGGAGCUCUGGUGGGAUGGCGUCCAGCAAGCUAUAUUUUCAGGCUUGACCUCGGAUCAGGUAGGGAUACCCGCUGAACUUAAGC
rnacentral:misc_RNA from 1 species